AUUAGAGCAAAUGACUCUAAUUCGUCCACGCCUACGAAUCAGUCGACAUUUUGUACAAAUUUUACGAAUGGAAGCUCUUAUUUUCCAUGCGACAUACAUUCGUUCCCGCCUAUUAUACUCAUGACAUGA
rnacentral:rRNA from 1 species